UCAAGAAAGCAAGGGCACAAGGUGGAUGCCUUGGCACAUGAAGGCGAAAAAGGACGUAAGUGAACGAAAACUAGGGUGAGCUCACAAAAAGCAUUGACCCCUAGGUCUCCGAAUGGGGCAACCCGGUUGUGGAAGACACAAUCAUUACUAAGUGAAUACAUAGCUUAGUAAGGCGAUACCCUGCGAACUGAAACAUCUAAGUAGCAGGAGGAAAAGAAAGAAACAUCGAUUUUCUAAGUAGCGGCGAGCGAAAGGAAAAGAGCCUAACUCAAUAGCGAUUUGGUAAUGUUAGUCAAAUUAUCUGAAAAGAUAAACCAAAGAAAGUGAAAGUCUUGUAGACGAAAGCAUUACUAAACGAGAGGGAAAGUAUCACCGGGCACGAGUAACCCGGUGUGAAGAUAGGGGGCCCAUCCCCUAAGGCUAAAUACUAACAUGUGACCGAUAGUGAACAAGUACCGUGAGGGAAAGGUGAAAAGAACCCCGAAAGGGGAGUGAAAUAGAACCUGAAACCUAGUGCCUACAAGCAGACAGAGCGUGAGCGAACGUGAUGUCGUACCUUUUGUAGAAUGGGCCAGCGAGUUAUUCUAAAUUGCAAGGUUAAUGAUUUAAGAUCAGAAGCCGUAGUGAAAGCGAGUCUUAAUAGGGCGAAAGUAAGUUAGAAUAGACCCGAAACCGGGUGAUCUAUCCAUGGUCAGAGUGAAGUUGAAGUAAAAUUCAAUGGAGGCUCGAACCGGGUGCGGUUUAAAACGCAUCGGAUGAACUGUGGAUAGGGGCGAAAAACCAAACGAACCCGGAGAUAGCUGGUUCUCCUCGAAAUAGCUUUAGGGCUAGCCUCUGACCUAAGAUUUUAGGAGGUAGAGCACUGAAUGGUCUAGGGCGGAUUACCGUACCAAAACCUAUCAAACUCCGAAUGCCAAAAAAUCAAGUCAGGGAGUCAGACUUAGGGGGAUAAGCUUCUAAGUCGAAAGGGAAACAGCCCAGACCGACAGCUAAGGUCCCAAAAUUUGAAUUAAGUGGAAAAGGAUGUGAAUCUACUAAGACAACCAGGACGUUGGCUUAGAAGCAGCCAUGCAUUUAAAGAAUGCGUAAUAGCUCACUGGUCAAGUGGGUUUGCGCCGAAAAUGAACGGGGCUCAAAUUCAAUACCGAAGCUUCGGAUUAAUAGAGGGAUUAAGUUUACAAAUGAGACUAGGAAAUAUUUAACAAAAACAGAAGAGAUUAAAAAGAAAAACAAAUUUCAGACGCAGACAUAAAAGAUAGGAUAUUAAAAAAGAAAAAUAUUCAAAAAACACAAGUCUAAAGUCAAAAGUGAGUAACAUAAGAAAUUAUGAACUAACAAUCACUGGUUAAGAGUUAAAAACUAGGACUCAUAGCUAAACUUAAUACCUCUAUUAGUGGUAGAGGAGCAUUGUAUUAGAGACGAAGCCAAGGCGAAAGCAAAAGUGGAUCUAAUACAAGAGAGAAUGCUGGCAUGAGUAGCGAGAAGGGAUGUGAGAAUCAUCCCCGUCGAAACCCUAAGGACUCCUGAGCAAGGCUCGUCCCCUCAGGGAAAGUCGGGACCUAAGCCAAGGCCGAAAGGCGUAGGCGAUGGAUAACAGGUUUAUAUUCCUGUACCGCUUGAAGUCGUUAAGAGAGAAGUGAUGACGCAAAAGGAUAAGCAAAGCCAUCAGAUGGAAAAGAUGGUCUAAAGCCGUAGGAAGAAAAGUAGGCAAAUCCGCUUUUCACAAAUUCUAAAAGCCGAUAGGUAUCGAAAACAUAAGUAGAGAAGUUGCCGAUUCCAAGUUGCCAAGAAAAGUCACUAUCCAGACCAAAGCGCCCGUACCAAAACCGACACAGGUAGGGAGGUAGAGAAUACCAAGACGCGCGGAAGAACCUUUGUUAAGGAACUCGGCAAAAUGUCCCCGUAACUUCGGGAGAAGGGGAGCCUGAGCAAUCAGGCCACAGAAACCAGGCCCAAGCGACUGUUUACCAAAAACACAAGUUUCUGCAAAAUCGCAAGAUGAAGUAUAGGAGCUGACACCUGCCCGGUGCUGGAAGGUUAAGGGGAAGGCUUAGAGCAAUCGAAGGCUAGAACUUAAGCCCCAGUAAACGGCGGCCGUAACUAUAACGGUCCUAAGGUAGCGAAAUUCCUUGUCGGGUAAGUUCCGACCCGC
rnacentral:rRNA from 1 species